rnacentral:misc_RNA from 1 species
CAGAGUUGCAAAACUCCCUACAAACCAUUCGUGAAUCCUACCCGUCUACCGGUUGCCUUCGGCGCUGGCGGUCCGGAAGGCCCUCGGGCCCCCCGGAUCCUCGGGUCUCCCGCUCGCGGGAGGCUGCCCGCCGGAGGAUGCCGAAACCAAACUCUUGACUAUUUAGUGUCCUCUCUGAGUAAUUCUUUUACUGAAUAAGUCA